GACGAACGCUGGCGGCAUGCCUAACACAUGCAAGUCGAACGAGACCUCCGGGUCUUGUGGCGCUGGGGUGGUGGACGCGUGGGAACUUGCCCUUAGGUUCCGAAUACUUCACUGAGGGGGGUGCUAAGACCGGUUAAUGUCUUCGGACCAAAGAUUUAUCGCCAUUGGAUGGGGCCGCGUUGGAUUAGCUGGUUGGUAGUGUAAAAGCCUACCAAGGCGUCGAUCCAUAGCUGGUCUGAGAGGAUGAUACGCCACACUGGGACUGAGACACGGCCCAGACUCGUACGGGACGCAGGAGUGGGUAAUACUAGACAAUGGGGGAAAGCCUGAUCCAGCAAUGCCGCGUAAGUCAUGAAGGCCUUAGUGUUGUAAAGCUCUUUUACACGAGACGAGAAUGACAGUACCGGGAGAAUAAGCUCCGGCUAACUCCGUG
rnacentral:rRNA from 1 species